rnacentral:rRNA from 1 species
UACGUAGGGGGCGAGCGUUGUCCGGAUUUAUUGGGCGUAAAGAGCUCGUAGGCGGCUUAGCAAGUCGGGUGUGAAAACUCCAGGCUCAACCUGGAGACGCCACUCGAGACUGCUAUGGCUAGAGUCCCGGUAGGGGACCACGGAAUUCCUGGGUGUAGCGGUGAAAUGGCGCAGAUAUCAGGAGGAACACCGGUGGCGAAGGCGGUGGUCUGGGCCGGCACUGACGCUGGAGGAGCCGAAAGCGUGGGGAGCAAACAGG